rnacentral:rRNA from 1 species
GACAGAGGGUGCAAACGUUGUUCGGAAUUACUGGGCGUAAAGCGAGUGUAGGCGGUCUGACAAGUCGGGUGUGAAAGCCCUGGGCUCAACCCAGGAAGUGCACUCGAAACUGCCAGGCUAGAGUAUCGGAGAGGUUGGUGGAAUUCUCGGUGUAGAGGUGAAAUUCGUAGAUAUCGAGAGGAACACCGGUGGCGAAGGCGGCCAACUGGACGAAUACUGACGCUGAGACUCGAAAGCGUGGGGAGCAAACAGG